UCGAUAUUUUAGUGUAAAUAAGUGCGAUCAGCUUUCCAGCUUUUUUGAAUGGGUGGCUUUCUUUUCCUUGGCUUGUGGAUGCAAUGUGGGUGGCUUUUAUUUUGAGCCAUUAGGAAGUUUCUGUUAUAGAUUUUUAACCUAUAAUAAUCUGCAACUCUGUGCUUUGAACCGUUGCAUUUUUUGAGUUAUUAUUACUGAUUAAUAAAGAGGUGGCUGCUUUCCCAGCCUCCUAUUUUCCCAGCCUCCUAUUUUUUUUGGGUGUCCAGUUGUUUCGCCUCACGAUUCCGCCUCCCUCUCUCAAAGAUUAGGGUUUGGGUUUAGGGUUUCUCUCUGCCACGAGAGCCCUCCUCUACUCCCACCUCCGACAAAGCCCUCGCUUCCACCUCGCUCGAUCCCUCCAUGGCCUCCCUUCGACCCCCAAUUCCCUCUUUCCGGAUCCUCGUCCAUUCGACCACCCAAAUCGCUUCCGAAUAGGAGGAGGAAGACGCCGCCCCUUCCCGCUUCGUCUGGGCGAUCUGCGGCAAGUUCGCCUCCGACCCUCGCCAAACAGACCCUGGACGCGAUGCUGCUCUUCGUUAAGCUUUUUUAUGGAUACCAUGGAGGUGAGCUUUUAUUUACAGCUGCAGAAUGAGUAAGAGAGGUAGAGGAGAGGUUGGUUGUAACUGGUGAUUUGCUGCCGAUCUCAACAUUACUCUUUAUUUCUUUUUUUCUUUUCUUUUCUUUUUUUUUUUUUGAGAUAAAACAUCACCAUAUUUCUUAUUUUAAAGGAAUGGGAGAUGUCAACUUAGCUAUGGUUACAGAUUGCGUCACGUAUAAGUUCAUUAAUCCUUAUCUCAUUGGCAAGAAUGUUUUUUUGGGAUUGGAGAACAGGAUCCAAGCCACCUUAGUCUUAGUCAUGGUUGGCACUUGCGAGAAAUUCUUUUGCAUUACGAAUUUUGGUAUUUGGUAUUAUUCAUAGACUUGUAUCUAGUCUAAAAUUGGAGUGAUGUAUUAUUGGUUGUGGUUGGAGUAUGUGCUUGGCGUUUUGAGCCAAGAAGGUAAACAUCAAUAUACGAACAAUGUAGAUUACCAUUUUGUUUCCUUUUUUAAUUUGCAUUGCUAAUCUUAAAUCUAGUUUCAAUUUUGCGAUGCUAGACCACCCUCGGAAAAGAAAUUGUUUCAUAUACCUCUUUUACAUAAGCACCACUGAAGGGAAGAUGAC
rnacentral:lncRNA from 1 species